AAAAUGACUCUCGGCAACGGAUAUCUCGGCUCUCGCAUCGAUGAAGAACGCAGCGAAAUGCGAUACUUGGUGUGAAUUGCAGAAUCCCGCGAACCAUCGAGUCUUUGAACGCAAGUUGCGCCCAAAGCCUUUCGGUUGAGGGCACGUCUGCCUGGGUGUCACGCAACAU
rnacentral:rRNA from 1 species